rnacentral:lncRNA from 1 species
AGACAGUCCAAGGAGAGCGUGGGAGGACCGGCUAACGGAAGAAGGCAGCAAGACCCUAGAGAAAACAUAAGCCAUGGAGAAACUAAUGGAUUCCCCUGCUAAAAUUUCACUUUGAAAGUAAAGAUAAAAUGAAGACAUAGCAUGAAGACACUUGGUGAUCAAUUAUGGCAAGAUCUUUCAACCUCAGUGACUGCAUCCUUUCUUUUCUAAGAAGAGACUGUAAUUCUUUCUCUGAUGCAUGGAGAGUAACUAGAAAAACUAGGUUACAGCAUAAAGACAGCAGUCUAGACACCAAAUCUCCUCCUCACCAGACACCAAAUCUUCCAGCAUCAUGCUUUUGGACUUCCCAACCUCCAGACCUGCUUUGACAUCUGAGAUCUUGCUGACCCUGGAGAGACUGUUCUCGCUAUGUCAACCAGUUCCCAGAAACAGUAAACACCUCAAAUUAUUCUACUCUGAGACCCACAGUGAAGGAGCAAAUCCAAUUUGGAACAUCCUGCUAUUGUGACAGAGGGCAAAAUCAGAAGAGGCUGAAAGAAAUCCAUCACAUAAUUCAUUAAAAGUCUCUACUCUCUGUAUGCAAAUGGCAU